rnacentral:lncRNA from 1 species
GUAUCGAAUUAACUUGUAACAUACUCUUGAUUAUUGUAUUAAUCAUCAAAAUACCACUAUCAUCCUCAAUCUCCCCCUUUUUAAUGAUUACAAAAUAUAGAGUAUGAGCCUAUUGAUACUUAUCUUAAAAUUAGUUUUAAAAGGGCUCAAGUUGCUGAAUUUCAGUUUUUCAAAUUUGAGAGUGAAGUCUCCCCCUAUUUCAUCCAAAUAUUUCCA